rnacentral:lncRNA from 1 species
UGAUCUCGAUCACCGUCAGAACUCCCUCUUCUACGCCGGCGAUCGAUCGAUCACACGGACAGAAGAAGGUCGUCCCCUCUUCUUCUUAAUUUUUUUAAAAAUUUGUUUAGAAUCUAGAUUAGAAUCACCGGCCCCUCACCGUCGACUUUUGUCGGUGGCCAACGGAGCAUCGGGUUGGGGGGCUGGAAGUAGUGCAUGAUAAGGAAAAGCGGCCUUCGUCGUGGCCAACAUCUUGUAGAGAAGAACGAAAAAGAGGAACGAAUGAAGAAGAAAAAAAAUCAAGAUAAUGGGUAAAGUCAAUAUUUUCUUAAAUCAAAUCGCAUCCAAAUAAAUGGAAUACGCUGAAUAG